GUGCUUGCUUUGGCAGCACAUAUACUAAAAUUGGAACGAUACAGAGAAGAUUAACAUGGCCCCUGCACAAGGAUGACACACAAAUUCGUGAAGUACUCCAUAUUUUU
rnacentral:snRNA from 1 species